UGAGGAAUUUUGCGCAAUGGCCGCAAGGCUGACGCAGCAACGCCGCGUGGGUGAUGAAGGCCUUCGGGUCGUAAAGCCCUGUCAGGUGGGAAGAAAGGCCUUAAGGAGAAAGACUUGAGGUUUGACGGUACCACCAGAGGAAGCACCGGCUAACUCCGUGCCAGCAGCCGCGGUAAUACGGAGGGUGCGAGCGUUAUUCGGAAUUACUGGGCGUAAAGCGCGUGUAGGCGGGGGACAAGUCUGAUGUGAAAGCCCUGGGCUUAACCUGGGAAGCGCAUUGGAAACUGUUUUCUUGAGUACUGGAGAGGAAGGGGGAAUUCCCGGUGUAGAGGUGAAAUUCGUAGAGAUCGGGAGGAAUACCAGUGGCGUAGGCGCCCUUCUGGACGGUAACUGACGCUG
rnacentral:rRNA from 1 species